CGCCAAUGGGCUGGCCGGAGCCCUGGGGGCGGGGCCAGGCUGGCGACACAGGCCGGGCCCCCAGCCUGCGAGGCAGGCCCCGGGAGACCAGAGACCGGCCCGAGCUCCCGCCCCUUUGGGAGACAGUGCCAAGACAUCCCGGAACGUGACUGUGACCUCAGCGCCUGGGUAGGACCCAGCUUGGCUGAGAGUCAGACAUCCGAGUUCUGGACACACGGCUACACACGUUUUCUCAUUAAGCCGGAACCGACGGCAGAUAGAUUCCCUUCAGCCUCGAAACACGCAGCUCACAGGAACCCAGGUGCCAACCUAGGAAUGCUGAAUCCUAGUGUCUCCCAUCCUCUGAAAACAUCCAUCCCAGAAGCCCGCUGAGGUCCACUUAGGUGAGGAGACGCUUUCAGACUUCAGACUUCUCUUCAAGUGUUUCAGCUGUGUCUGCUGUGAACUUCUGUUGGGGACCACUAGCUUGACCUCUGCUGGAAGGUCUGACGCCAUCCCUGUUAACGUCCCAAUCUCAGCAUGAAGCAGCCAGAGCGGUCUUCGUCCCUUCCCCCCAACAGCAGUUAGGAGUAUUUCUUCAGAGGGGGAAAUGAGAUAGGCACUAGACCCCACUUAUAGGUAGAUAGAGGAGG